rnacentral:rRNA from 1 species
GACGAACGCUGGCGGCGUGCUUAACACAUGCAAGUCGAACGGAAAGGCCCUGCUUUUGUGGGGUGCUCGAGUGGCGAACGGGUGAGUAACACGUGAGUAACCUGCCCUUGACUUUGGGAUAACUUCAGGAAACUGGGGCUAAUACCGGAUAGGAGCUCCUGCUGCAUGGUGGGGGUUGGAAAGUUUCGGCGGUUGGGGAUGGACUCGCGGCUUAUCAGCUUGUUGGUGGGGUAGUGGCUUACCAAGGCUUUGACGGGUAGCCGGCCUGAGAGGGUGACCGGCCACAUUGGGACUGAGAUACGGCCCAGACUCCUACGGGAGGCAGCGGUGGGGAAUAUUGCACAAUGGGCGGAAGCCUGAUGCAGCAACGCCGCGUGCGGGAUGACGGCCUUCGGGUUGUAAACCGCUUUCGCCUGUGACGAAGCGUGAGUGACGGUAAUGGGUAAAGAAGCACCGGCUAACGACGUGC